rnacentral:rRNA from 1 species
UGGGGAAUAUUGGACAAUGGGCGAAAGCCUGAUCCAGCCAUGCCGCGUGUGUGAAGAAGGCCUUUGGGUUGUAAAGCACUUUAAGCGAGGAGGAGGCUACUUGGAUUAAUACUCUAGGAUAGUGGACGUUACUCGCAGAAUAAGCACCGGCUAACUCUGUGCCAGCAGCCGCGGUAAUACAGAGGGUGCGAGCGUUAAUCGGAUUUACUGGGCGUAAAGCGUGCGUAGGCGGCUUCUUAAGUCGGAUGUGAAAUCCCUGAGCUUAACUUAGGAAUUGCAUUCGAUACUGGGAAGCUAGAGUAUGGGAGAGGAUGGUAGAAUUCCAGGUGUAGCGGUGAAAUGCGUAGAGAUCUGGAGGAAUACCGAUGGCGAAGGCAGCCAUCUGGCCUAAUACUGACGCUGAGGUACGAAAGCAUGGGGAGCAAACAGG